GUGGGGAGGGGGCUAGGCGGAGGCUGGAAGGCUGGCCCCCGCCCUGGGUCGAGGAAGGAGCGGGCUGGAGGCCCGGGCUCGCCUGGAAACUUAGAUUCUUGGUAUGGUUGGAGAUCUGAGGAGUGUCUUGCAACUGACAUGAUUGUAAAAGUUUUUUUUUUUUAAACGUAUGAAAUGAAACCUCUACUUCAAUCCUCCUACUGCGUACAGUCGCCAAUGUCAACAGUUCUCAUCCACAUGAGCAUGGGCUUCAUGAUCCUGGCCGUGAUCCUGGCUCUAGUUCUCCUCCUGGCCAUGGGCUUCUCCUUCCGGCCAGCACUCCGCCGUCUUAACAAGACUGACCUCGUCUUCAGUACCCUCAGCUCCUUCACUGUCAUGCAGGAUGGGAGAGGAUGUCUCUGGCUCGCUUCUCUUUCUGGAGGUCUCUGGGUCCCUGUCCAGCCUCGUGUCCAUCUCUGGCCCCAUCUCAGUGCAGGGCUCCUGAUUCUCCUCAGCCUGACGCUCUUUAUAGCCAACUGCGAGAUGCUCAAACCGAGGCCACAGGUAUCCUACCUGGUGACCACCUACCUGAGCUGGGGUGCCAGCGCCUUGAUGCUGUGGGCCGGUGAGGGCGGGGUCUCGGCAGGGCAGGGGGUGGGGCCCCGGGCGAGCGUACCAGGCAGGGCCUCGGACCGGAUUGGGGUGGACCCCACGGGAGGUCAGCCUACAGGGAAGGGCCGGGGCCUAGGGGGCCAUCUAGCAGCUCCACUCCCGCCCCCAGGAAUCCUGAGCUACUUAAACUACAUGGGCAUGUGGGGCAAAGGGACGUCCUCCACGGAACGGCGGAUGAGCUACCGCCGGUGGGCCUCGCUGCAGAACACCCGGAAGUCCAUAUCCGAACAGCUGUCGUCGGACGCAGGCUCCAAGCACGCCGAGGAC
rnacentral:lncRNA from 1 species